rnacentral:tRNA from 1 species
GCUGGCGUAGCUCAGUUGGCAGAGCAGCGGUUUUGUAAACCGCAGGUCGCAGGUUCGACCCCUGUCGCCAGCUCCA